ensembl:lncRNA
GUUUCAGAGGGUGAACCUACGACCAUGGCAGCAGCAGAGAUACAAAGAACCUGAAGUAGGAGGUAUUGGGGGAGGAGAAACAAUAUGAUCAAAAACAUUAUCUGAAAAAAAUGUGAUGAAAUAAAAAGAGAGAGUCUCUUAUGAGUCAGAGUCCAUCCACAGAGAGUUCAGAGUCAGCAGGAACAUGGAUCAUGGUUUCUGGUCACAGCAUAGAUCAUGGACAUCUACAUCAUCUCCUGCAUCAGCACCACUGACCUCAGCACAGAUUCUGGUGGCAGUACAGACCACAGGCAUCAACAUGGCCCUCUGCCGCUGCACAGGCUAUGGAAACUAUCACAGUCCUCAGUAGUAGCACAGGCCACCUACAUCAACACAGCCUCUGGCAGUGCCACAGACCAUGGACAUCCACAGGAAUCUUGGGCUUCAAUAUGGCCUGGGACAGUUGACCACGGAUACCAACAUGGCCUUCGGGGGCAACACUGAUCAUAGCCGUCUUUUGAGAAGUUUCAACAGAGAAAAUGAACCAUUAUUCAUCUCAGACAUCCUUUUCAUUUUUCAGAACCAGGGAGAUCAUCUGGCUGCGCAGCAUGAUUGGGGACUGAGUCUGAGCAAGCUUCAGGCUGCUGCACAUCACCUGGUUGGCCUUACUCAGCAAGGAAAUAUUCCCUUGUUCACCACAGUCUUACCUCACACCUGCCACUACUGUAGAAUCUCUAACUCUGUCUCUCUCUCCUGAGAACUCACUGCUCUGUUCCUUCAUCUUUCCCACCUCUCCAUCGCCAAUACAUCAUAGUUGUAUUGGAAACUGCAGUAUGUCAUACAGUAUAUUUUUCCUCAAACAGCUUUACGUAAAAAUAUUCAUUGCAGUGAGUCAUUGGUCUUAGAAAACCCCAACUCUUAACCCUUACUUUAAAAUUCUCUUGAGAUUUGUGGCAUUAGGGUUCUUUGGGUCUCUGCUGUAUUUAAGCACUUAUUCCUCAACCUCUGUAUUUUUCUCAUUUAUAAAGGUUUAUGUCAUUUAUAUUUUCAUCUCUAAAUUUCUGACUUCCAUCCUCUAGAGUGAGUUCACUGCUUAUUGUUGACAAUCAUAUUCUGUAAUAUGAUUGUCUUUGUUGCAUCCUUCAUUAAAAAAUACACUGUUCCUUGCCUGCCAGGAACAGGGAUACCAUGACAUGCAAGACAGCAAAAUGUCCAACAUUAAACUGCUUAUGUUGUAGUAGAGAAGAAAGGCAAUUAGGAAACUGUUAGAUAAAUGUGUCUAUUUAUGAAAUGUUACUAUCACAGUAAAUACAUGAUGCAUUUAGUAAUGUAAAAACUGCUGUUACACAAAAUUGACUUGGUGGGAGAAGUCAACAAAGCCUUUUCUAGGAAAAUGGUCCUACAAAUGAAAUGUGAAGGAUGGAUUGAGGCUUAUAAAGAGGAAAGGAGAAGGAAGAAUGCCCAGGCAGGGGUAAAAGUUGAGGAACCAUUAUGUAUGUGCAUAUGUGUAGGCGAUGAUGUGUAAGUACAUAUGUGUACAUGUAUGUAUAUGCAUCUGUAUGUGUGUAUGUGUGUAUUGGCAAUGGCACAUGAUAAAAGUUCAUGAUUAAAAGAUUAAAAGAAUACCAUAGCAAUUAUUCAUUUCUUGGCUUUGCCUCCUCUGAUGGCUUCUUUAUACACAAUUAUGAG